rnacentral:rRNA from 1 species
UUUAUGGAGAGUUUGAUCCUGGCUCAGGAUGAACGCUGGCGGCGUGCCUAAUACAUGCAAGUCGAGCGAACGGACGAGAAGCUUGCUUCUCUGAUGUUAGCGGCGGACGGGUGAGUAACACGUGGAUAACCUACCCAUAAGACUGGGAUAACUUCGGGAAACCGGAGCUAAUACCGGAUAAUAUUUUGAACCGCAUGGUUCAAAAGUGAAAGACGGUCUUGCUGUCACUUAUGGAUGGAUCCGCGCUGCAUUAGCUAGUUGGUAAGGUAACGGCUUACCAAGGCAACGAUGCAUAGCCGACCUGAGAGGGUGAUCGGCCACACUGGAACUGAGACACGGUCCAGACUCCUACGGGAGGCAGCAGUAGGGAAUCUUCCGCAAUGGGCGAAAGCCUGACGGAGCAACG